GAUGAACGCUGGCGGCGUGCUUAACACAUGCAAGUCGAACGGAAAGGCUCCUGCUUGCAGGGGUACUCGAGUGGCGAACGGGUGAGUAACACGUGGGUGAUCUGCCCUGCACUUCGGGAUAAGCCUGGGAAACUGGGUCUAAUACCGGAUAGGACGAUGGUUUGGAUGCCAUUGUGGAAAGUUUUUCGGUGUGGGAUGAGCUCGCGGCCUAUCAGCUUGUUGGUGGGGUAAUGGCCUACCAAGGCGUCGACGGGUAGCCGGCCUGAGAGGGUUUACGGCCACAUUGGGACUGAGAUACGGCCCAGACUCCUACGGGAGGCAGCAGUGGGGAAUAUUGCACAAUGGGCGCAAGCCUGAUGCAGCGACGCCGCGUGGGGGAUGACGGCCUUCGGGUUGUAAACUCCUUUCGCUAGGGACGAAGCGCAAGUGACGGUACCUGGAGAAGAAGCACCGGCUAACUACGUG
rnacentral:rRNA from 1 species